CAUUGGCGGGCGGGGCCAGAGCUGCGCCUGCGCGUUGCCCCCUCGCCCACGCAGCUGGGCCGCGGCAGUGGCAAAGGGCGAGGGUUACGCGUUGCAAUGAGGCAAUACCUAAGGUUUACCCUGUGGGUGCCAGUACUGAAGACUUAGUCAGCAUGACACCUGGAAGUUAUUCUGCUGGACAAGUAGAAGAGCUUAGUCCACAAUAAUCUUGUGUGGGUGUGGUUGGAGAGGGAAGUAAGCGUGGGAAGCUUCUUUAGCAUUCAUGCAUCAGUGCAAGAGCUAAUCCAAAUGCAGAAAUAGUACUCUGCUCUUGGAGAACUAAGCUUGCACCUGGAAUAUAGUUUUGCUUACAAGUGUUUUAUGUCUGCCUGGAGAACCUGUCAACCACUGACCGCUUUGAGCCAAGUUCCAACUGCAGGAAAUAAUCCUGAGGAGAAGAGUAGGAAGCAUUUUUGAACACUUUCUCUUCUCAACUUGACCUGCAGGUAGAAAGGCAGUCUCCGUUUUGACAUGUCUUGCUCUGCCAUCUUCAACCACCAAAGAAAGCACUUAAGAGGGCAAAUGAUGCAGUCUGGAGCUAACUCGUGAAAUAGCACAUGUAAUUAAGAUUAUUAUAAGUGUCAGUAGAAACUGUCUGAAUCAUCACCUCCUUACAUGUGAGAAUCUAAUACUGCAUGUCAGCCUAAAUCUAAACAUCUGCAGCAAGCAACUGUAUUUCUCGGAUUAUGAUAAUUCAAAAUGGGAGGCGAAACAGGGGAGAAAGUUUGCAGACUUUCAGGCGGAAAAGAGAAGGAAUCUCCAACUUCUGUGAGCACAGUCACAAACUGACUGAUUUACUUACUUACUGAUGUCAUAAGUCAUGUGUCAUUUAUAAUGUGCUGCCACAAUCCAGCUGGACACGGUUGGCUGGCAGCAAAUUAUCCUGAACCUUGCAAAGGCCACAGACCUCCAGCUUGAGGUAGAAGAUGGCAGCUCCACCACGAUGAGGGACCUCCUCAGGAGCCCUGGAGAUCGCCCUUUUCCCCCAUGACUGAUGCCUGCUUGGCCAGCAGAGAUUCAUCAGGUGCUUUGUCAGGAUGGCAAGCACAGUAGUGAUUAAAUGUUAAAUCCUAACUACGUUUUGUGGGUGCUAUCAAUAAAUAGUUGAUUU